AAUCAACGCUGGCGGCGUGCCUCAGACAUGCAAGUCGAACGCGAAAGUCCCCUUCGGGGGACAAGUAGAGUGGCGCACGGGUGAGUAACACGUAGGUAAUCUACCUUCGGAUGGGGAAUAACAACCGGAAACGGUUGCUAAUACCGCAUAAUGCAGCGGCACCUAAUGGUGACAGUUGUUAAAGCGGGGGAUCGAAAGACCCCGCGUCUGAAGAGGAGCCUGCGGCGGAUUAGCUAGUUGGAAGGUAAUGGCUUACCAAGGCGACGAUCCGUAGCCGGCCUGAGAGGGCGGUCGGCCACACUGACACUGACAUACGGGUCAGACUCCUACGGGAGGCAGCAGUCGGGAAGUUUUGGGCAAUGGGCGAAAGCCUGACCCAGCAACGCCGCGUGAAGGAUGAAAUCCCUCGGGAUGUAAACUUCGCAAGAACGGAAGAAUAAGUA
rnacentral:rRNA from 1 species